AGUGAACGCUGGCGGUAGGCCUAACACAUGCAAGUCGAACGGCAGCACAGUAAGAGCUUGCUCUUACGGGUGGCGAGUGGCGGACGGGUGAGGAAUACAUCGGAAUCUACUUUUUCGUGGGGGAUAACGUAGGGAAACUUACGCUAAUACCGCAUACGACCUACGGGUGAAAGCAGGGGAUCUUCGGACCUUGCGCGAUUGAAUGAGCCGAUGUCGGAUUAGCUGGUUGGCGGGGUAAAGGCCCACCAAGGCGACGAUCCGUAGCUGGUCUGAGAGGAUGAUCAGCCACACUGGAACUGAGACACGGUCCAGACUCCUACGGGAGGCAGCAGUGGGGAAUAUUGGACAAUGGGCGCAAGCCUGAUCCAGCCAUACCGCGUGGGUGAAGAAGGCCUUCGGGUUGUAAAGCCCUUUUGUUGGGAAAGAAAAGCAGCAGGUUAAUACCCCGCUGUUCUGACGGUACCCAAAGAAUAAGCACCGGCUAACUUCGU
rnacentral:rRNA from 1 species